rnacentral:rRNA from 1 species
UACGAAGGUGGCAAGCGUUGUUCGGAUUUACUGGGCGUACAGGGAGCGUAGGCGGUUGGAUAAGCCCUCCGUGAAAUCUCCAGGCUUAACCCUGGAAAGUGCAGAGGGGACUGUUCAGCUAGAGGAUGGGAGAGGAGCGCGGAAUUCCGGUGUAGCGGUGAAAAUGCGUAGAGAUCGGGAGGAAGGCCGGUGGCGAAGGCGGCGCUCUGGACAGCUCCUGACGCUGAGGCGCGAAGGCUAGGGGAGCAAAGCGGG